rnacentral:SRP_RNA from 1 species
GCCAGGCAUGGUGGCUCAUGCCUGUAAUCCCAGCACUUUGGGAGGCUGAGGCAGGAGGAUCACUUGAGGUCAGGAGUUCGAGACCAGCCUGGCCAACAUGGUGAAACCCUGUCUCUA